CCGCCAAAAUUAGGAAAUAUACAAUCUAUUCAUAAACAAGUCAGUCAAUGCAAUACAUUUCAAUGUCGUCUAGUUCAAAACUCCAUCCCAUCCAAUAUAUUUACACUCAAUGCAUUGUAUUUUGAAACCAUUUAAUACAAAACUUCAUUCCAUCCAUUUAAACAUGGAACGAUGCAUUGGAAAACUUGUUGCGAUGCACCGUAAUAUGAAAUCAUCCAAUAAAACAUGAAACCAUGCAGCUCAAUGUGAAGCCGUUUAACACAACAUGAGUACGUGCAGUGUAAGAUGAAAUGAUUCAUUACAACUUGACGCUGUCUUAUGCAUAUUGACACCGCUUUGUGUAAUUGAGAGCGGUGUAUAAAAACUUGAUGUCAUGCAGUCCAAUGUGAAGACGUUUAACGCAACAUGAGUUCGUGCAGUGUAAAGUGAAACGAUUCAUUAAAGUUUGGCGCCGUCUAAUGCAUACUGAAACCAUGUCGUGUGAUUUGGAGCGGCGUAUCAAAAUUUGAUGCCAUGCAGCCAAGUGUGAAACCGUUCAACGAAACACCAGUACGUGCAUUGUAAAAGGUUAAUAAGACUAUCAGUUCAUAGGUUUGACCUUUCAUAAAUAUUGAUUCCGGAUCAGUUUUACAAUACGUUCCUUCUGUUGCCUUAACGUAUGUUAGGGUUUCACCUGGCAGCUAGGUAUAACAUGGGGCUAAGAGUGUAGCUAGGUGCACUAUAAACCGCUUUAAACUCCUCAGUGGUGGUUUCGCCACUAACCGUUCCAAGGCAGUGCCCCACUGUGUUCCUGUAUUUGUUUAUUUUGUCCUUGUAUGUUUCUUUUGUUUGUAUGUGUGGUGUGUGAGUGUUGUCCGUGUGUGCCUUUGGGGAGGCUGUGUAUUUGGAACGUGGUUUUCCCUGUUGGAUAUUCUUCUUUGUUUUUACAUAAAAAUAUAUUGAAAUUUAUUCUAAAACCGACCUUGUGGUAAAAAUGUUUAAAGGGACCUUAUUUCGUGAAACAUCUUUCUUCUCAGUUAACAAGGGGCAGGACGUGAAGUGGUUGCACACUUGGUUCAAGCGAGCGAAAUGGUUGCAAAUUUACAAAAUGGCGGAUAUUUUCUGAAAUCAUCGCGUGUUCACUUGUUGUUUUUAUCAGAUCUUUUCAUGUCUAGAUGCUAUGAACAUCAGACGCUAUUAUGACCCGAGAGCAUGAACAUGAAUCUUCAUUAGUUGAACAAACUACGCUAUCACGUAUAUCAGAAAUAACCGUUAGAGAUCACGAGUUUAACCGAAGGAAAGGAAGCAUACCAAAGUAUGGAACCUUAAGAAAAUUGAAUAAUAUACCAAGAGGAGUUCGACCAGUUAAGUCACAUUACACAGUUGACGAGUCCACUAAGACUAUAUUUUGAGCGAACUCACAAAUUAAAAUACAGCGCAACAGAACUUUUCGCUGUAUACAGUGGAUUGAAAUUGAUAAACUAUAAUAAAAAAUGUUCGGCUGCGAUUAAGUCCGUCUUCUCUGAAAAUGAACAAACAUAAUUAUGAUGUUUUCUGUUGAUUGCCACCACAAAUUUAAAUGCCAACUCUACUGUUUUCAAUUUUGCCUUAAUAAAGUUGCCUGUGUCCAAGAUUACAUCUUUUUGGAUACCGUGCAACUUGGGUUUUGCCUUUUCCGAAGUCGUUUGUGGUACUUUUUCUUUCUGUUUAAAACCAUUCAAUUUUCCAAUUAGAAACUUUAAACGACAAAAUUAAGCACGUGAUAAAAUGAUGGGAACUACAAUCAUGUUUCUGCAGAUGUUACACUGUAACUUAGAGGAGUUAAACAUUUUAUCUCAGUUUUACUUUCAUUGAACAGCGUCCAUGUGUUUUAGUGUUAGUAUCGAUUUAUUUAUUGUUUUGAUACACAGUAGUAUGACUUACAAGAUAUUCAAAGACGACGAUUUAUGUUUCAGAAACAAAAUAUGAACUAUGCCGCAUGUCCGUAAGGAAGGGGUAUUUUACAUGUAUCUUAUCAACAACACUCAAUAGCCUUGUUUCGUAUUAUGAUCAUGUUAUAUCGACACAAGAUUACACAGGUGGAUGAGCAACUAUUAUAACUUCUAAUGAGUUCAAAACAUCUUGCAUCAUAUCUUAAGACUGGGAUAUAUUUUUGUACAUUUAAUCUAGAAAUGAAACAUAACGUAUGCAUUUAUGUCAUUAUGUUAUUACAUCACUGUUUUAUUGUUUUUUCUAUCAAAACUACAUGUACUAAUAUUUUACGAAAAACAGUUUUUAUGAACAAAUCUUGUAUCCUGGUAGUUUGUUGUCUCAUGUGACGACAAAUGACGUUGAAGCACAAACCGUGACGGGAUUUCUUUUCGCAAAUAUCACAUUCCAGAGGAGAAUUCCCAUCGCUGUCUAUGUCUUGCGUUUUUGCCUGAAAAAUGAAUUGAACAAGGAAAUACAAUACUGUAGAUUUUAGAUCGAUUGAAAUUAAAACAUUUUGCUACAUAUUAGUUCGAUUAUAAUAUUUCUUUUAUGUAAAAUAUCUUUUACAAAUUUUCUGUCAAAUAUAAAUACAAGUCAAUGGAGAUGAGAACUUAGAAUUGGGCGAGAACUUGUCAGAUUACACAGUUUGCAUUAAGUAAUUUCUUGGGCAAGAUACACACAAGGCUAGUGCACACCAUAGCAAAACAUCGACCAUAUUAUUUCACUGAUCUUCCAAAAUCACAAAAAGUUAAAAAUAAGUCUCUGUUUUGUGCCCAAACGUCGUUAUACGUGAUUAGAAAUAGAAUUAUGAAAUUUCGCGCUAUCUGCAACUUUGAGGAAAUUUAUGAUUUGCCUCUUCAACCAGUUACACAAUAAAUAUUCUCUGUUAGUUGGACACUAUUUUUUUUCAGAAAAAGUUUGCAACAGAAAUUGCUUGAAGUACAAGUCUGCAACAAAAAAGAGCUUGAACAAGAUUUAUUUGGGUAUAGCACUAUCCCGAAAACAUGCAGAGCCAAACGUUUAUAGAGUUCUUCAUAAUUAGUUGUUUUGUCUCGUUUAAUGGCCCAAAAAGAGGCUAGUUUGGUCAUUAGAAUGUUAAAAACGCAAGAAAUAUCAAAAUAUGGGCAUGACAAUUUUAUAACUUCAAUAUUCGAAAUCUACAACCCUGAAACGCAAAACCGAGUGUGGCGUAGACAAAGAACUGUUGCAUGCACAUAUCCAUAGAGUUCAAAAUACCAUAGAAACCCACCCACCUGAUAAAAACACAAGUGAACACGCGAUGAUUUCAGAAAAUAUCCGCCAUUUUGUAAGUUUGCAACCAUUUCGCUCGCUUGAACCAAGUGUGCAACCACUUCACGUCCUGCCCCUUGAGUUAAAGCUUUGUAAGAAGUAUGCUUCGUGAAACAGACCCAGUAAAAGAAAAAAUAAUGACAAAAUUGAGUUAAUUUUUAAUCCUAUGAAAUUUAUGUUUACAUGUUUAUGCUUUUAGACAGUAUAUCAAACUUACUUGUACUUUA